rnacentral:rRNA from 1 species
AGAGUUUGAUCAUGGCUCAGAUUGAACGCUGGCGGCAGGCUUAACACAUGCAAGUCGAGCGGAGAUGAGGUGCUUGCACCUUAUCUUAGCGGCGGACGGGUGAGUAAUGCUUAGGAAUCUGCCUAUUAGUGGGGGACAACAUUCCGAAAGGAAUGCUAAUACCGCAUACGUCCUACGGGAGAAAGCAGGGGAUCUUCGGACCUUGCGCUAAUAGAUGAGCCUAAGUCGGAUUAGCUAGUUGGUGGGGUAAAGGCCUACCAAGGCGACGAUCUGUAGCGGGUCUGAGAGGAUGACCCGCCACACUGGGACUGAGACACGGCCCAGACUCCUACGGGAGGCAGCAGUGGGGAAUAUUGGACAAUGGGGGGAACCCUGAUCCAGCCAUGGCCGCGUGUGUGAAGAAGGCCUUAUGGUUGUAAAGCACUUUAAGCGAGGAGGAGGCUACUGAGACUAAUACUCUUGGAUAGUGGACGUUACUCGCAGAAUAAGCACCGGCUAACUCUGUGCCAGCAGCCGCGGUAAUACAGAGGGUGCGAGCGUUAAUCGGAUUUACUGGGCGUAAAGCGUGCGUAGGCGGCUUUUUAAGUCGGAUGUGAAAUCCCCGAGCUUAACUUGGGAAUUGCAUUCGAUACUGGGAAGCUAGAGUAUGGGAGAGGAUGGUAGAAUUCCAGGUGUAGCGGUGAAAUGCGUAGAGAUCUGGAGGAAUACCGAUGGC